GAGGUGCCGAGCGUUAGGCGGAAUCACUGGGCUUAAAGCGUGUGUAGGCGGGUCGGUAAGUGGCUUGGGAAAUCCCACCGCUCAACGGUGGAACUGCUGGGCAUACUGGCGAUCUUGAGCCACCUAGGGGCAGACGGAACAAGCGGUGGAGCGGUGAAAUGCGUAGAUAUCGCUUGGAACGCCGACGGUGAAAACAGUCUGCUGGGGGUGUGCUGACGCUGAGACACGAAAGCCAGGGGAGCGAACGGG
rnacentral:rRNA from 1 species